rnacentral:rRNA from 1 species
CCUACGGGAGGCAGCAGUGAGGAAUAUUGGUCAAUGGCCGGAAGGCUGAACCCGCCAAGCCGCGUGAGGGACGAAGGUGCCAAGCAUUGUAAACUUCUUUUGUCAAGGGACAAAAUCAGGCUCGAGAGCCUGCCCGAGGGUACUUGAAGAAAAAGCAUCGGCUACCUCCGUGCCAGCAGCCCCGGUAAUACGGAGGAUCGGAGCGUUAUCCGGAUUACUUGGGUUAAAAGGGUGCGAAGGCGGACUGUUACGUCAGGGGUAAAACCCGGGGCUCAACCCCGGCGAGCCGUUGAAACUGGCUGUCUUGAGAUGUCGAGAGGUAUGCGGAAUGCGCAGUGUAGCGGUGAAAUGCUUAGAUAUUGCGCAGAACUCCGAUUGCGAAGGCAGCAUACCGGCGGCGAUCUGACGCUGAGGCACGAAAGCGUGGGUAUCGAACAGGAUUAGAUACCCCGGUAGUC